AGCCCCAUGGUCAAGCGGUCUACGAUUCGGCCCUCUGGAGGCCGAGACCCAGGUUCGAAUCCUGGUGGGGCUA
rnacentral:tRNA from 1 species